CACACAGGGAGCUUUGUGACAUAUAUACAGGCCAAUUGCCUAGGUAAAGUUUGUCUCCUCUCCUGCCUAAGCCCUGCCCAUGGGGAGGAUUUAGAUAUAUCACUGAAACCAGCAUCCAGGUGAUAUGACUCUUUUUCCAGAGUCUUGUGACAUUUCACUGGACCAGCGCCCACUCAGGUGAUAUUGUUCCAUAUACCUGAGACCAUAACAAAAGCCUAAUUACAACUCAUAUGGCUGGAGCCAGGACAUGUGCAGGAUGGUGAUGUAAUUCUCCUCUCUGGAACAGGCCAUGAACAAAGGAAAGAUCGUGACAUAUUGCAAGAUCAGGCACACAC
rnacentral:lncRNA from 1 species